rnacentral:siRNA from 1 species
AACGAUUCGUAUCUUGUUGAUGC